CCUGAGUACGACGGAGCACGUGAAAUUCCGUCGGAAUCUGGGAGGACCAUCUCCUAAGGCUAAAUACUCUCUAGUGACCGAUAGUGAACCAGUACCGUGAGGGAAAGGUGAAAAGUACCCCGGAAGGGGAGUGAAAGAGAACUUGAAACCGUGUGCUUACAAGUAGUCAGAGCCCGUUAAUGGGUGAUGGCGUGCCUUUUGUAGAAUGAACCGGCGAGUUACGAUCUGAUGCAAGGUUAAGCAGAAAAUGUGGAGCCGUAGCGAAAGCGAGUCUGAAUAGGGCGAAUGAGUAUUUGGUCGUAGACCCGAAACCAGGUGAUCUACCCUUGGUCAGGUUGAAGUUCAGGUAACACUGAAUGGAGGACCGAACCGACUUACGUUGAAAAGUGAGCGGAUGAACUGAGGGUAGCGGAGAAAUUCCAAUCGAACUUGGAGAUAGCUGGUUCUCUCCGAAAUAGCUUUAGGGCUAGCCUCAAGUGAUGAUUAUUGGAGGUAGAGCACUGUUUGGACGAGGGGCCCCUCUCGGGUUACCGAAUUCAGACAAACUCCGAAUGCCAAAUAAUUUAACUUGGGAGUCAGAAUGUGGGUGAUAAGGUCCAUAUUCG
rnacentral:rRNA from 1 species